CCUACGGGUGGCAGCAGUGGGGAAUAUUGCUCAAUGGUGGAAACCCUGAAGCAGCGACGCCGCGUGAGCGAUGAAGUAUUUCGGUAUGUAAAGCCCUAUUAGUAGGGAAGAAAAUGACGGUACCUGUCUAAGAAGCACCGGCUAACUACGUGCCAGCAGCCGCGGUAAUACGCAGGGGGCAAGCGUUAUCCGGAUUUACUGGGUGUAAAGGGAGCGUAGGCGGCGGUGCAAGCCAGAUGUGAAAGCCUAGGGCUCAACCCCAGGACUGUAUUUGAAACUGUGCUGCUAGAGUGUCGGAGAGGUAGGCGGAAUUCGUGGUGUAGCGGUGAAAUGCGUAGAUAUUAGGAAGAACACCAGUGGCGAAGGCGGCCUGCUGGACGAUGACUGACGUUGAGGCUCGAAAGCGUGGGGAGCAAACAGGAUUAGAUACCCUUGUAGUC
rnacentral:rRNA from 1 species